rnacentral:rRNA from 1 species
UACGUGGGGUGCAAGCGUUAAUCGGAAUUACUGGGCGUAAAGCGUGCGUAGACGGUUAUUUAAGUCGGGUGUGAAAGCCCCGGGCUCAACCUGGGAAUUGCAUUCGAGACUGAAUAGCUAGGGUACGGUAGAGGGAAGCGGAAUUUCCGGUGUAGCGGUGAAAUGCGUAGAUAUCGGAAGGAACAUCAGUGGCGAAAGCGGCUUCCUGGACCAGUACCGACGUUCAGGCACGAAAGCGUGGGGAGCAAACAGG